UACAGAGGUCUCAAGCGUUGUUCGGAUUCAUUGGGCGUAAAGGGUGCGUAGGCGGCGCGGUAAGUACGGGUGUGAAAUCUCGGAGCUUAACUCCGAAACUGCAUUCGAUACUGCCGUGCUUGAGGACUGGAGAGGAGACUGGAAAUUUACGGUGUAGCGGUGAAAUGCGUAGAUAUCGUAAGGAAGACCAGUGGCGAAGGCGGGUCUCUGGACAGUUCCAUG
rnacentral:rRNA from 1 species